AGCGAACGCUGGCGGCAGGCCUAACACAUGCAAGUCGAACGAACCUUUCGGGGUUAGUGGCGGACGGGUGAGUAACACGUGGGAACGUGCCUUUAGGUUCGGCAUAACUCAGGGAAACUUGUGCUAAUACCGAAUGUGCCCUUCGGGGGAAAGAUUUAUCGCCUUUCGAGCGGCCCGCGUCUGAUUAGCUAGUUGGUUGAGGUAAUGGCUCACCAAGGCGACGAUCAGUAGCUGGUCUGAGAGGAUGAUCAGCCACAUUGGGACUGAGACACGGCCCAAACUCCUACGUGAGGCAGCAGUGGGGAAUCUUGCGCAAUGGGCGAAAGCCUGACGCAGCCAUGCCGCGUGAAUGAUGAAGGUCUUAGGAUUGUAAAAUUCUUUCACCGGGGACGAUAAUGACGGUACCCGGAGAAGAAGCCCCGGCUAACUUCGUG
rnacentral:rRNA from 1 species